CUUGCUGCCCAUGCAGCAUGCAGAACCUAGGCUGUUUGGGCGUAGGGACAAGAGAUUUAUUAAAUAUCUCUUGACCCCUUGAUGUUUUUGUCAUGUGAUAUGCGAACUGAUGUUUGUUGAACUAGAGGCAAGUAUAAAUUACUAAUCAUUUGCUGUCCAAUGUACAACGAAGCUGCAUACCCUGCCUCUCUGCUCUCCUUUAUGUAAGUGGAUAUGCUAGCAUUCUUGGAUGACUGGGAAUCUGAAGCUUCUGGAAGGGAUGUGCACUGGGUAAUUACGGUGGCACUUCCAGCUAAUCCUGGGAGAGUGAACCUGGUACUGAACAAUAGCACAGGAGCUUCUGGGGGAAGGUUCGUAGGAUUGUGGGGAAUACAGAGCUGACAAUAACUAAAAAGGUUUAUUCCUGGAAUGAGCUGACGUACAUCAUCCGUUGCAUCUUCAAUGUGUGCUCCAUCAUGCUGCUCUCUUCAGGGUGCUGGACACAGGAGAUGAACCAUUCUGCAUCUGUACUGAUUGACAGAGUGGCAGCAUUCCACAAAGCUUUCUGAAACAAGAAGGUGAAUUGGCUUUGUUCCUUCCAUGAGCGUCAAACAGGAUGAGAAAGGAGGAGAGAAAUCCGGUUUAGCCCUAAAUGUGGGCUCAGUUGUGCCACUUAGACAGAAAUCUAUGUUGAGGAUGGGCUGAGCUGCACUGCCCCAGAAAGAGCACAAGGAGGCAGACUUCCCUUGGAAGCUCCCUUGUGCACAGGUGCAACACACAAACUGUUACACACUCCAGCAUACUCUGCUGCCUCCCCACCCCCCCACACAGUUGCUGGCCCAUUGAGAGAUGGAACUAUGACUCCAUACUCCAGGCCUCUUUGGGGAGCAUAUGGAAUACAGUUGUACUUGGCACUUAUGCAAGCUGCACAUGCUAGUUAGUGGGGGUUUAGGGGAAGGAAGAAAAGAGAGGUUCCUUGUUUCCCUAUUUCCCUGCUAUCCUUCCCCUCCCCACAAUCCACAAAUAAUCUGGUCCUGUGGUAUUUAUAUUUGGCAUUUGAAGUUAGAUUUCAUCAGCAUUAGCCUUCAAAGUACCAUCCUUAUUUUUAGAACAGCUUAAAAAUAUGUGAAAAUAUCCAUGGACCACUUUGACAUCUGAAAUCCCUCAGUAAAUGGGAAACUUCUUAUUUUCAUUGUGUGUGUGUCUCUCUCUCACACACAUACGGGAAUGUUUCAUGCUUUGAUUACUCUUCCUUUGAAUCUGAUGGGCAGUGCACAGCUAAAUAGAGGAGACAUAGGCCAAGCUUUCUGAACUGUUCAGUCCAGCUGCAGGGCGUUACAAAUGUUUUACCCCAAUCAGUAAUACUUGAAAAUGUUCCCUAUGGUGAUGAUAGUGUCCCCAACAAUCAGACUGGAAUAUUCCAUAAGGAGCUCCCCAAACUGGAUUGUUUAUCUUUUUUGUUUUUGUCUUUGUCUUUCCUAAAAUCACUUUGUCCAAACUAGUAUUUAAUUUUCAAAUGUGAAAAGCUAUGUGUGCAGAGGCCAAAUUCUAAUGUCUUGAUCCUGUAGCUGGAUAGAUGUGAGCAGAUGCAAAUGCAGGAUCAAGGCCUGUGCAUGGCUGUCCCAGUUAGCUAGGUCUUUUCUUUUUGACUAACAGGAGACAUUUACUUUGCUUUGGAUGAGUUUAUGAGCAAUGUCAAUGAAACAUGACAGCAAUUCAAUGUUUCACAUUAAAGGCUAAAAUAAAUGAAUACUAGGUAGCAGUAGUGAGCUGCAGUGUUUCUCAACUACCCGUCCACGGACUUUUGCCAGUCCUUGAAAUCUCCCUGAUGCAGGUUAGGAAGGCAUCAAGCCCAUCUCUGGUAUCAAAAAGGUUGAGAAACACUGCUAGUGCAUAAUCACCCAGUGCACAGUGAUUGUGUGCUCUGCCAUUGUGCUUGACAGACUAUUGUACUGUGUUACUUGCACAGACAGAUUCCACUCCACUUCACUGGAGGGGCUUCAUCAACUCAACCAAUUCAGCAGCUCUGGAUCUGGUACAGUCACAUAUAUCAGGCAGGGGCCAGAGAAUUUGAUUUGCCUAUCACUGGCAGGUACAUCUCUGAUUUGUUUUAGAUGAUCAACAAAAAUGCUAGCUCUGGAUGGGCCAAAGUCUCAUGGAUUUCACUGGGACUCAAUCUGGGUGAAGCUGCAAACUUUGGCACUUUCCCAUGUGACUAAUGCUUUCUGUCUUGUGUUUGUCCUUGGACCAUGCAAAGUAGGAUCAUAUGUAAUUUGCUCAUUAGCAUACUUAACUGUUCCUAACUGCACCAUGGGGCACAUGCUUCCACAUUUCCUGCAACUAGGAUUUCAGGUCCUAGACGGACUUCCAAUGAAGGUAUUCUAAAUUCUUUGAAGAGGAGAAAUACAUCUUGGUAACUUUGUACAUCACUAUGUUUUGUUUUUUCUUGUAGAGAGCUAUGAGGAUUUGGUCCAAAAGACACAACUAAUGUCUUUAAGGGAUCAACAGUGUCCAAUUAUUCUCCUGUGGACUGUCCAUAGCAGUGUCUCAGAAAUUACUAUAAUGCUACUAUUCCCACUAUAUAUCCAGUACUGAGAUCUCUUGUAUCUCCCUCAUUUCAAACUCCCCUGCAGGACCAGAUCUGAAAAUAUGUAUUUUGGUCUAUCUUAGGCAUUGCUAUGGUAUUGAUACAGUACAUGUAGUACUGUCUGAAUCUCUAAUUGUAUUUUUGCUACACAAGAGACCUGUGUCUUGAUGGAAUGAAAUGAUUUUCUGUUGCCAUAUGGCAUUCAUUCCCUGAGGUGAAAAUGAGCACAGUCAGUACCACCUGGGACAAAAUGGAAAAUGUGCAUAACUUGCUCUUGGUAGCUGUCCAGUGGAAAGUUAGUAUAAUGUCUGACCUCCUACCCAUGGCACUCUAAACGACUGUCUGCAGAUGUCAACUGCCAAGCAGCUUCUGAUUCCUAUUAUAUUGUUGUGUUAUUCCCCGAAGGGUGUCUGUUGCCAGCAUUCUUGGACAGUGGUGACUUUCAGAACUCUGUAAACUGGUCUAUCCCUAAUUUAUCAUUUUUCAUUUCUGUAUACACUUCCUAGUUCGUAUAGACUGAAAGCAGAAAUAAAU